AUUGAACGCUGGCGGCAUGCUUUACACAUGCAAGUCGAACGGUAACAGGCCGCAAGGUGCUGACGAGUGGCGAACGGGUGAGUAAUGCAUCGGAACGUGCCCAGUCGUGGGGGAUAACGCAGCGAAAGCUGCGCUAAUACCGCAUACGAUCUAUGGAUGAAAGCGGGGGACCGUAAGGCCUCGCGCGAUUGGAGCGGCCGAUGUCAGAUUAGGUAGUUGGUGGGGUAAAGGCUCACCAAGCCAACGACCUGUAGCUGGUCUGAGAGGACGACCAGCCCAACUGGGACUGAGACACGGCCCAGACUCCUACGGGAGGCAGCAGUGGGGAAUUUUGGACAAUGGGCGCAAGCCUGAUCCAGCAAUGCCGCGUGCAGGAAGAAGGCCUUCGGGUUGUAAACUGCUUUUGUACGGAACGAAACGGUCCUGGUUAAUACCCGGGGCUAAUGACGGUACCGUAAGAAUAAGCACCGGCUAACUACGUGCCAGCCGCCGCAGUAACAC
rnacentral:rRNA from 1 species